rnacentral:snRNA from 1 species
CCAUCCUAGUACUAAUCUCGCC